CCCUUAGAUGUCCUGGGCUGCACGCGCGCUACACUGGAAGUUACGGAUUGAGAUACUACCUUGUCCGAAAUGGUCCGGGUAAUCACCUAAAAGCUUGUCAUAAUUGGAAUGGAUUAUUGUAACUAGUAAUCCUGAACGAGGAAUUCCUAGUAAGUCCCAGUCAACAGCUGGUACUGAUUACGUCCCUGCCCUUUGUACACACCGCCCGUCGCUACUACUGAUUGGACGUUUAAGCAAGAUUUUUAAACACUGACAGUGUGUAGUUCACGCUAUACUACAGUGAGAAGAAGAAGAUCGAGUUUACUUGUCUAGAGGAAGUAAAAGUCGUAACA
rnacentral:rRNA from 1 species